rnacentral:rRNA from 1 species
UACGUAGGGUGCAAGCGUUGUCCGGAAUUAUUGGGCGUAAAGAGCUCGUAGGCGGCCUGUUACGUCGGCUGUGAAAACUCGGGGCUCAACUCCGGGCCUGCAGUCGAUACGGGCAGACUAGAGUGCUGUAGGGGAGACUGGAAUUCCUGGUGUAGCGGUGAAAUGCGCAGAUAUCAGGAGGAACACCGGUGGCGAAGGCGGGUCUCUGGGCAGUAACUGACGCUGAGGAGCGAAAGCUUGGGGAGCGAACAGG